CCAAAUAGGUCUUUAGUACCCAAAUCAAAACAUGGAAUAGCCUUUUUUCAAUCUUGUUCUAAUGGAUUUAAUGUUCUUUAGUUAGUUUUUUUUUUGUUUUUUCUCCAUUAUGUCUCUCUCAUAUUAUUAGUAUGAUUUGUAGUGAGCAUAUUUUCAGAUUCCAUUAAGAGGUGCUCCGACAUCCUAGUUAGGAUGAACAUGAAAAAAA
rnacentral:lncRNA from 1 species